UUCUACCCCCAAUUCGUCACUCUCUCUUCCUCCCUCAUUUCUUCUUAAUUUUUUCCCCAAUUCACAAACUCAAAAUCAGCGGCGGUCUUCUUCUUUCUCAAAUCUGCGCCGCCCUUCAUGGUUCUAUCACCAUCGCCAGCGAAUCACGCCAUCUCUCCGUCGAGCUCUCUCCUUCAAGCUCUUUCUUUCUGUAGAGUUCUCUCUCCCUCCGUCGAGCUCUCGGUUGGAGAGAAGGCGUCAACUUCCCUCCGGCGUCGAGGCUCCGGUCGAUGGGGAGUCGCUGCCCGUUCUUCGCGGUGAUGGGGUCGUCGUCGUCGAACCUUUGUCGUGUUCAAACUCAUCGCAGGGAAUCUAACGGGCAGUCUCCCACUUUAACGCGGUGUGGUCACCUCGGAGGACAGCCUCGAUUACUUAGCUAAGUCUUCUUUCCCCGAUUAAAGACGCGAGAGCGUGAGCCUGAUGCGUGUUUAAUUAAACACGCGAGAGCUUCAAGCAUGUUUAGUUAAAACACGUCGCGUCUUUCCCCUCUCUGGAAACUUUUUUUUUCGGGGUACAAAUGGCGGAUAAAAAUCGCCAUGAGGCUGUUUCUUGGAAUUUCAUCUUGAAAUACUGCAGCUUCUCUUGCUCUUUUUCUCACUCUCAUCUCACUAUUCCAAUUGCUGGAGGAUUUUCAAGUAUGGAAAUGAGAAAGCGUUGUUGUGUAUGGAGGGGUUUUUAAUGGUCUUUCUUGUGUACUUGAAGUUUGUUGGGAUUUUGGCAGAGAUGCAUUUUGAAAUCUUGGCUCUUUGCUAACAAAUUCUGGUGGUUUAUGGAUUUGUACUCUGUGAAAUAAAUGUGGCUGCAUUCUUUGUUUCUUUGUGCAGUACGCUCAGUCCUUGAUCCUCUUGUAGCUUUUAUUUAAGCAUUUUGGUUUUUAUCACACUCCAUCUUGUUGCCACCCUGCAGGUUGUUGCAACUGCCCUAUCUCGUGGCAGCCUUCGGCUCAGGCUGGGAGUUCAGAGGUGGCAGCCGUUCCUUCUUACUCACUUUGGGUUACACACCCGAGCUGCUGUGUUGAUACAGCCUUAGGGCUGGUUUGCUGCCAUGGCCGACUGAUGUCAGGGUUUGGCCGAAGUCCGGGCCUAAGGGAAAAAGGCCCGACAUUAGCGUCCCUAGCAUUGUAUUAAGAUCAAUCCCUCUUUUGUUUUCUUUCUCUUUCGUCUCUUUCUCAACAAGUGUGGUCGAGCAUUUGUAUAAUUAGGCUUAGUUUGAAACUUGUGUAUCUCAAUUACUUAAGAAAUAAACGGCUAUUUAUUUUUAUCUUC